rnacentral:lncRNA from 1 species
CAGGCAGAGGCUGCAGAUCUAGACAGGUGAAGGGAGAAGGAGGGACAGAAAAAACGACACGGAGAGAACAAGAAACAGUGUGACCUCCUGGUUCUACAGCCUUCGGACUCUGCACCACCCUGAAGACACACCUUGCAUGAGCCCUAGCUCAGGCAAACA